CUGCUCCCUUACAUGAUGGGGCACGCCCACAGUGUAAGAGGUAAAUUGCUCACCCACAAUUGUGGAGAGAUUAUUAAAAAAGAUUAAGAUGAUGUUAUCAAGUUUAGAUUAGUGUCAGAUAAAGAUUAGAUUAGGGUUAGAUUAAGAUUAUGUUAGGGUUACGGCUCAACAUGUGUCGCGAAUUUAUUGUAUUGAUAAUUUCGGACGUGUUUAACAAUUUACUUAUAUAGUAAAUUCAAAGGUGGAGCUCAUGUUGCAACAGCGAACAAGAUGAAC